ACCAACAAACUAAGUUAUAUUGGUAAAAAGACAGUUAAAUUAUAUCUAGGUGAAAAAUCUGUGAUAUCUUUAAGAAAAACCGGGAUUGGAUACCCCAUUAUUAGAAGUAAAUCUACCAGAGUACUACGAAUUUAAAACUCAAAGAGCUUGGCGGUAUUUUAAACCACUUAGGGGAACCUGUCUCGUAAUCGAAAAUCCACGUUAAACCUUACCUUUUUUCAGCCUGUAUACCGUUGUCAUCAGAUAACUUUACAUUGAAGUUAACUAGAUAAAUUUAAAUGUCAAAUCAAGGUGCAGCUUAUAAAAAGGAGAGGAUGGGUUACAAUUAUUGAAGGAGGACUUAAAAGUAAUCUACAAAAAUAAGUUGAAUAGGCUCUAAAAUGUG
rnacentral:rRNA from 1 species